AACGAACGCUGGCGGCAGGCUUAACACAUGCAAGUCGAACGCCCCGCAAGGGGAGUGGCAGACGGGUGAGUAACGCGUGGGAAUCUACCCAGUUCUACGGAACAACACAGGGAAACUUGUGCUAAUACCGUAUACGCCCUACGGGGGAAAGAUUUAUCGGAAUUGGAUGAGCCCGCGUUGGAUUAGCUAGUUGGUGGGGUAAUGGCCUACCAAGGCGACGAUCCAUAGCUGGUCUGAGAGGAUGAUCAGCCACACUGGGACUGAGACACGGCCCAGACUCCUACGGGAGGCAGCAGUGGGGAAUAUUGGACAAUGGGCGCAAGCCUGAUCCAGCCAUGCCGCGUGAGUGAUGAAGGCCUUAGGGUUGUAAAGCUCUUUCAGUGGGGACGAUAAUGACGGUACCCACAGAAGAAGCCCCGGCUAACUUCGUGCCAGCAGCCGCCGUAAAAC
rnacentral:rRNA from 1 species